AUUGAACGCUGGCGGCAUGCUUUACACAUGCAAGUCGAACGGCAGCACGGGGGCAACCCUGGUGGCGAGUGGCGAACGGGUGAGUAAUAUAUCGGAACGUACCCGGAAAUGGGGGAUAACGUAGCGAAAGUUACGCUAAUACCGCAUAUGCCCUAAGGGGGAAAGCGGGGGAUUCGCAAGAACCUCGCGUUUUCGGAGCGGCCGAUAUCGGAUUAGCUAGUAGGUGAGGUAAAGGCUCACCUAGGCGACGAUCCGUAGCUGGUCUGAGAGGACGACCAGCCACACUGGAACUGAGACACGGUCCAGACUCCUACGGGAGGCAGCAGUGGGGAAUUUUGGACAAUGGGCGCAAGCCUGAUCCAGCCAUGCCGCGUGAGUGAAGAAGGCCUGGUUGUAAGCUCUUUCCUAGCCGGAAAGAAAACGACACGGGUUAA
rnacentral:rRNA from 1 species